rnacentral:rRNA from 2 species
GGAUGCGAUCAUACCAGCACUAAAGCACCGGAUCCCAUCAGAACUCCGAAGUUAAGCGUGCUUGGGCUAUAGUAGUACUAGGAUGGGUGACCUCCUGGGAAGUCCUCGUGUUGCAUUCC